rnacentral:rRNA from 1 species
GACGAACGCUGGCGGCGUGCCUAAUACAUGCAAGUCGAACGCAGUGGGGACGGGUGAGUAACACGUGGGUAACCUCCCAUCAGAGGGGAUAACACUUGGAAACAGGUGCUAAACCGCUACUGAUGGAUGGACCUGCGGUGCAUUAGCUAGAUGGUGAGGUAACGGCUCACCAAGGCCACGAUGCAGAGCCGGCCUGAGAGGGUGAUCGGCCACACUGGGACGGAGACACGGUCCAGACGCCUACGGGAGGCAGCAGUAGGGAAUCUUCGGCAAUGGGCGAAAGUCUGACCGAGCAACGCCGCGUGAGUGAAGAAGGUUUUCGGAUCGUAAAACUCUGUUGGUAGAGAAGCGGUAUCUAACCAGAAAGCCACGGCUAACUACGUGCCAGCAGCCGCGGUAAUAC